CGCGAGCCAGAGGAGUCGCCGCGCCGGAGCGACCGGGAGAGACCGUUGCACCGAAGGAACGGAGAAUAAAGUCUCAUUUCAAGCAAUAACCGAGGGAGAAGCACUGUCGAGAAGCGGAGAGGGUGGGAGAGACAGGUCGUGAAUGAAGGAGUAUAUAUGUGCAAAAACAGGAAUGCAUAGAAGGAUACAUCUUUGAAAUGCUGAAUAAACGUGUGCCUUGUUCGAUAUCGUUGUCGCAUGAAGGCUUACGCUUUAAUCACGUUUCUGAGGCAACCACUAUCGCCAAGGGGAAGAUAUCCUUAAUACGUCUUGAGGCAAGGAAGUGUGUGCGUGUGUGCGUGUCUGCGCCCGUGUUUGUAUCAGCUGCCUCUUGUGUAAAAUUAAACUUCCUGCCCUCCUGGUACCCACAUCUGCUCUCCUGCGAUACAUUCAUAAUGGAACCUUCGAAAAUAAUAAAUUUGUCCUAUAUCUGCACACGGACCUUCGCGGCCAUUAAUCAUUGUGCUUGUGUAAUCAACCUUACUACACGAGUUAGAGUAGAAACGCAGUGUGGAAGACUCGUGUCGCAAACGGCUAAGUGAAAGGAGAUUUUUUGCAGCGCUUCGAAUAUCAAAUAAGCCCGAACAAUAAUAUGGAUGUUCCAGGAUAACAAUUCGUGAUCCGACGCGUCGAUCUUACUUAUUUCAGUUACAAGAUCGAGACUGUAUCCUUUCUUAUUUCUUAUCGAUUGCAUUUCGAGUCUUUAAUUAUUAACGAUAAUAACCAGGCAACCGGCCAAGAAGCAGCUGAGGCAAUCCUGAGACGCAGGUGUCGGUCGCUUCCAGAAUGUGGCAGCCAGAGGCAGCAACUCUUAACCACGGCGUGUUGCUGCCCAAUUCGAUCGACGAAGCGGCAAUCCGUUACGCUCGCUCUUCGACUUCUACCCGUACGAGUGUGUAUACACGUGUGCGCGUACGCGACACGCGGAUAAGAGAAAGUUGAAGCCUCACGAAAUCGUCUUUGCGAAAAUGCCGACGAGCAAUCCUCUAUUAUGCAGGCAGAUACAAAUAGACAAAUUGUAUCAAUCUCGCCAACUUACCGUUCUAGACAUCCAGCCGACAUUAUAAAUCGAUGUUGAUAUACUGGGUUGUUCACGUUGAAAACCAGAAACAAGCCA